UGGGUUGCCAUGGUUAGAAAAAAUAUUUCCUAUGUUAGGGGAAAAAAAAACCUCGGACGCUCUGUGAAGAAAAAAAAAAAUCUGGUUGCCAUGUCAAAGAGAUCGCCAUGACAUGCCAAGUAAAUAAGUGGGGUGCCAUUUCAGGUGGGUUGUUAUUAUUAUUGGGUUCUUUUUCUUAUGAGAAGUGGCUCUCCUUCUGUUCAUGUUCAUUUUCAAUAGCUACAUGUAUCCCGAGCAGCACUGCAGUGGUCCUGGAGUCAAUCCUGGCAACAAAUGGAUGCUACUCAUGCCAUGGAAAAGAUCCGCCAUCACCUCCCGUGGUGAUCCUGCUGCAUUCGCCCCCUGCGGUUCCAGGCCCUGCGCCCUCCUGCAGCGAUAAACUAACACCAAAGCCACACCUUCUGCACUGGGACCUACUCUAAAGCCACGCCUUCUUCGCUUACACUGACUCUAAAGCCACGCCUUCUUCACUUACACUGACUCUAAAGCCACACCUUCUUCACAGAGACUGACACCAAAGCCAUGCCUUCUUCAUUGACACUGACUCUAAAGCCAUGACUUCUUCACUUACACUGACUCUAAAUCCACGCCUUCUUCACUUGCACUACAUCUAAAGCUAUGACUUCUUCACUGAGACUGACUCUAAAGUCACACCUUCUUCACAGAGACUGACUCUAAAGCCACACCUUCUUCACAGAGACUGACAACAAAGCCAUGCCUUCUUCAUUGACACUGACUCUAAAACCAUGCCUUCUUCACUGGGACUGACUCUAAAGCCAUGCCUUCUUUACUGACACUGAAUGUAAAGCCCCGCCAUUUUCACUGACACUGACUCUAAAGCCAUACCUUCUUCACUAACACUGACUCUAAAGCUUCUUCACUGGGACCUACUCUAAAGCCACGCUUCUUCACUGGGACCUACUCUAAAGCCAUGCCUUCUUCACUGAGACUGACUCCAAAGCCACUCCUUCACCGAUACUGACACUGAAGCUAUGCCUUCUUCACUGACACUGACUUUAAAGCCACAUCUAUUUCACAGAGACUGUCUCCAAAGCCACGGCUUCUUCACUUACACUGACUCUAAACCCAUGCCUUCUAUACUGACACUGAAUAUAAAGCCAUGACUUCUUGACAGAGACUGACUCUAAAGCCACACCUUCUUCACUUACACUGACUCUAAAGCCACGACUUCUUCACUUACACUGACUCUAAAGCCACACCUUCUUCACAGAGUCUGACACCAAAGCCACGCCUUCUUCACAGAGACUGACUCUAAAUCCCCACCUUCUUCACAGAGACUGACACCAAAGCCAUGCCUUCUUCAUUGACACUGACACUAAAACCAUGCCUUCUUCACUGGGACUGACUCUAAACCCACGCCUUCUUCACUGCCUAAAAGCCCUGCCUUAUUCACUGAUACUGACUCUAAAGCCCUACCUUCUUCACUGGGACUGAAUAUAAAGCCCCACCUUUUUCACUAGGACUGACUCUAAAGCCACACCUUCUUCACUAGGACUGACUCUAAAGCCACACCUUCCUCACUAGGACUGACUCUAAAGCCACGCCUUCUUCACUAGGACUGACUCUAAAGCCCUACCUUCUUCACUAGGACUGACUCUAAAGCCACACCUUCUUCACUAGGACUGACUCUAAAGCCACGCCUUCUUCACUAGGACUGACUCUAAAGCCACACCUUCUUCACUAGGACUGACUCUAAAGCCACACCUUCUUCACUAGGACUGACUCUAAAGCCACACCUUCUUCACUAGGACUGACUCUAAAGCCACGCCUUAUUCACAGAGACUAACACAAAAAGUGUUUGAAAUAUACAAAGACACCGCCUUUUCUCGAUCGCCGUUUGAUGGCCACACCCCCUCGAUUAGGACUGAUGGAAACCAAAGCCACGCCUCCUUCAUUGGCACUGAAAGUGGAACGGCCGGGUCUUCAUCACUGAAACAGGCACAGAUUCCGGAGCAUUCCUGAGUAGUAAUGGGCGAUAUAUACGAUAUAAACGAUACAAAAUUGGCCUACGAUAGAGAUUUUAAUUGUAUUGCACUAUCGCAAUAAUGCAUGUUGAUGACGCAAUCUACCCGCGGAAUUUAGAGCCACGAGCUGCAGCCGGCUGCAACGAAUCAUCAUAUUCGUCAUCUUGAAUAAACAUGGCUGAAAGCGUCAGCGAAACAGAGGAGCUCGUGAAAAAGACCGGUGCAACAUCUAUUAUUGGUUUGGAUUUAAGCCGUCCGACGAGCAGCAGAAAAAUAUACUCUGUAGAGUGUGUGGGGCAAAAGUUCCAGCUAAGAGCGGUAACACGACUAAUCUGUUCUUACCACCUCAAAACUAAACAUGUCAUUGAAUACCACCAGCAUUGCCAGGCAAUGCAGCCAACCGCAAGAUCCAGUACGAAGAACGCAUGACAGUAAAAACAGGAACUGAUCCAAACCUCAAUCUAACAGUCAUUUUCAAAAGGUACUCCUUAUAUUAGGAAGAGCUAACAGGCUAACGAGCUAACAGGCUAACACGCUAAAACCAGACAGUUUUUCCUGUGCUUUGCAUAUUUUGUGUCCUUUAAGAAAAUAACUAAAACUACAUUUGCACUUUUUACUGUAUAUAUGGCCUGGCACUACUGUAAAGAAACUUUUAUACUUUAAAAAUUCUCUUAGUUGACGUAUAUGUUCCUUAUACUGUAAGUAUUUUAUGUAUAUAUUUUGUGCUUUCAUUUAGCACUUUAUAAUGUUUUCAUUUGAAGUAUGUGCACUACACCUGGAAGAAUUUUCUUUAUUUAAAAUAGCCAUGCCUAAUACUGGAAGUAUAUCCCUAAUUCACAGUGUCCAUUCCUUUAUUAACAAGACACCAGUUUUAAUUUCAUUAGGAGAACAAAAUGUUUAAAACCAAAUGCGUUCCCUCGGCUGCAGGUUUGAAAUAUGCUUUUAUUUAAAGUGUCUGUGCAUUUACACAGAAUAAUUUUCUUUGCCUAAUUAAUAUUGAAAGUAUUUUCAGUACAGUGUAUGUUCCUUAACUAA